GUUAUCCUACGGGAGGCAGCAGUAGGGAAUCUUCCACAAUGGGCGAAAGCCUGAUGGAGCAACGCCGCGUGGGUGAAGAAGGUCUUCGGAUCGUAAAACCCUGUUGUUAGAGAAGAAAGUGCGUGAGAGUAACUGUUCACGUUUCGACGGUAUCUAACCAGAAAGCCACGACUGACUACGUGCCAGCAGCCGCGGUAAUACGUAGGUGGCAAGCGUUAUCCGGAUUUAUUGUGCGUAAAGGGAACGCAUGCGGGCUUUUAAGUCUGAUGUG
rnacentral:rRNA from 1 species